GACCCGGUGGCGAAGUGGUUCGCAUCCGCUCUCUUUGUACCAAACGUCUCUGAGUCGCUUCUGCGGAAGGCACCCGUUCGAUUCGGGUCUGGGUCA